CUACGCGAAAAGGGAGGACCAGACGCGGAAUUGACCCAUUUUGAACAAUAGGCACACAUCCUUAAUAACUGAAACGGCAUUGUUUCAUUUAAUUCCCAAAAUUAAAAGCCAUUGAAUGGCAGAUUGUUCUCCCUUUCAGCCACAAAUAGAAGACCCAAUUAUUAGGGUUUCAAAACAGCAGAUUUUUGAGGCUUUCCCCUUCCCUUUUCGAUCACUCGACUGCUACUUUCCACCGUUGAAACCGAUGGAUGAUAGCUCGCCAUGGAGACGUUUUGUUUUCUUACUCUAAACCUCUCCCAAAAGGGUAUGGAGGUGCCAGGGAAUGGUGCUUGCAGAGGCGUGGGGUGGCAAAAGGCAUGGGGUGGCAAAAGGCAUGGGGGUGACCAGGGUUUUUCCUUUUUUGCUGUUUUUUUAUUAUUGGUUUGGGCUAGAGUUAGUGGUUUGAGCUGAUGUAAUUUGGGUUUGGGUAUUUUGGUUUUAGGCCGGGCAUAAUUGGGCCUGUACAAGGAUUUUAUCCAUGUUACCAGAGGGAAAAAAACGACUUUUUCCAGCCUUA